UUCUUUUUUUUUCCCCCUUCUUCCCCCCUGUCAGCUUUCAAAGCCCAGGAUUCUGUUGUUUGUGAGAGAAGACUAAGUCAUAACCCAUUAGAGUGCGGCCUUCUCGGGCAACUCUGCACGAACAAAAACGAGUUAUAUAUAAAAUGGGAUCCUGAAAGAAUGAUUUUUAUGCCAAACACCUGAGAGAGAAGUCUUUCAGCGAUGUAAGGAAAAAAUGCUCUAAGAACCACUACUCAGAAAACUCUGCUUUUAGGUUUACGAGCAGCAUAACUGAUUUUAUGGCUUCACCGACCAACACAAUCUCACUUCUCUGGGGAAAUACAGUAACACUCAUAGAUUGCCCUUAAUCAUUUUCUGAAAGCACAGCAAAAUCACCAGGAUCCUACUUAAAAUUUUUGACUGCCUCUUCACCGCCGAUGGAAUUAAGACCAAACCAUUUGACCGAAAAUUCUGGCUCCCGGCUGUUCUUCCAAACUCAAGCCCUAGUCCUCCUCAAGGUCGAGCUCUAAAUGCAACUAUUUUA
rnacentral:lncRNA from 12 species